UGCAGACACUGUUUUCGUGUCCUAAAAGCAUUAGCAAUAUGGAAAAUUUUUUAAGCCCUUGAUUGCAAACUUUAGAUUACUCAACUAAAUAUGGAAAAGGUGCAGAUACCUUUCCUGACACACAUUUAGGAGCAAUAAGACCUGAGAAUCUUUGAACAAGGACUGAAAGGGGACUUUUUUUUCCUCAAAAAAUAUCAUAAUAGCAGAAACUUUAUAGAAUGGCAUCAAAAAGGCGUCUGUGUGAGGCCCUGCUGUGGAUGGAUGGCAAGAUAAGAACAUAAACUGGGAUUAACAUUCAAGCAAAGAAUGAAAGGGGCUCUUCAGGCAGCAGUUGCCAUCACUGGCUAGGUGAGGAGAGCUUCAACUCUUGGUGCCAUCUCUUAUUUGGCCCUGAGGGUAACGAGCUGAAUGCAACAUGGAUGACUCACAUGGAGCACCGUUCAAGUUGAAGAACUCUGAGAAAAAAAAAGCCUUGAAAUGAGAAACCUGAAAAUCAGGGUGUUUCCCUCUGCUCCAGUGAAAUGCUUUAUGCACCAGCCACUGGAAAACUCCCCUGCAGGUUCGAUUGGUCCCGCUAAUGCCUGUGCAUUUGCACAGUGCAGUGCUGGCACACAGUUGCUAGGACGCCUCGGCAGAGAGUCGGGAGCAGCCAGGGAUGCAUUCACAGGACAGCUGACUGCGUUGCUAUGCCUGCCAACUAGUGGACAGACCAACAGCGAGCCCCUUAUUUAGCAGAGUCCAUGUUAAGGGUACAUUUUCUCUAUCUUCUUUCUGCACAUGCCUCAGGUUGGUACAAUGCUGGUUAAAAUUGUCUUUUCUUUGUAUUUUCUGUCUUGAAGUUUGCUGCCCAUUCCUUGCUGCAACUCUUCUAUUGACUUUGAUGGCAGCUGCAAGUACUUAAUUAUUAAAAAACCUGGCCAUUUAUUUAAGUGCCUGAAGGCAGACUUAAGAGUGUAACUUGGAAUAGUGAUAUAUAUUCCAAUAUUUUAAUUUUAAAUUUAUGUAGCAAAAAAUGGGCAUGUCGUGCGAGCUUAGAAAUAAACACCAGGCACGCCGAUCUCCAUAGCAAUCAUAAACAAUUACUCUAAAGCAGAUCAGAUGUCAUAACAGGAGUCAGGAUGACUGUGUCUACAGAUGUCCUACAGUAAUUCUGUUCAUGCCAUCCAUUCUUCCCAAAAUACUUAUUUGGAAGCAUUAAGGCAGGAACACAGAGGUCAGAAAUGAGGCUUACAGUCAGAAACGAGACUGGUUCCAGAAGAGCUGGUUUAUCAGCAGGCCAGUGAUGCUGGGGUCGUUGACAUUCGUGCUGUGGACAGUGAGCAGAAUCACCCUCAGGACUCGCGGGCUUUGCCAAACCUGCCAUGACCUGCAAACAUGACUGCAAUGACCACAAAGGAGAGUAAGGAGGCCUUCAAACAUUGUGAGUUUCUCUACUGGAACACAAGGCUUCCUUCUUUUUGAGGCUGCCACAGCUUUUAACACAAGUGAAAGAAAAAACCCACAAAGCUGAGGUUUUGUUGUGGCAAACGUUAACAAAAGAGCAGGGAUGCUCAAGAAGGCAAGAGAUGUCUACUGAAUGACCCACAUGGAAGCCAUCACCAAGACCAGUCACUUGUAGAGUGCAAAUAAUGGCACUGAGAACAAUUUGGAGAGAGCAAUUCUACUGCUUCAACCAGAACACACAGCCCUGAUUGUGUCGUGAAGGGCAGCUUAAAAACACGAAUCUCACAAACUCCUUCCAUGGAGCAGAGGCUGCACCCAUCCAACUUCCUGCAGGUCUGACAGUUCAGAGCACUGGAGAGCACAAGGUUCUUUUGGCCUUUCUUCUCCACAGAUAAGAGUCCCUGCUGGCUGCUGGCACAUAGCACACACCUGCAGUGUUCCAGGGAAAGGUUAAAAAAAUGUAGGAAGUACAGAGCAAAUCCACUGCAGCCAACAGCGACGAAAUUCUGAUAUAUCACCACACCUGGCUGGAAUAGUUGAAGGAUGUGGAAAAGGUGUUUAGGACAGUUUUAUGAGCAUGUCUGACUGUGUGAAAACUGAGAAAGUGGCCAGAUCACAACAGAUGAGGUGACUUACUUGGAAUGUAGGAUGAGAAGGGGCUAGAUCAGACAGCAACUGGCUACACUGGAAGCUGACCUACCUAACAAACACCAGAUGAUGACUUCUUGAGGAUAUUAUUGCAUCUCCUGGUAAUCAUCUACCAUCUAAUUUCCCAAAACAGAGACUAAAAUAUCAGUGCUGGGGUUUUGUUAUUCCUGUUUGGGAGGAUGCAUACGAUGAUCACAGAUACGAUGCCUUGCUGGGGAUAUUCCAUUACCUAUGGUGUGAGUACCAAGUCUCUGGUAAUUUUCAUUUCAGGUUGACAGGCAAAGUUGUUUGAAAAAUGAUCCAAUCUCCCACAAGUAAAAAAAAAAAAAACAAAAAAGAUUCUUGGAAUAAGCAUUAGAAUUAGGUGUCUAUGGCAGAUGCCUUGUUCUUAAUUUUGUCACUGCAAAAAAAUUACUUCAGUUAAUGCAGGGCUAUUAUUUUUCUUUAUAUCACAUCUAGCAAUUUUUGCUUUCUCUCCUCUGGACAAAAUAUUAUUGUCACUUAAACACAUCAGGUAAUGUUAUUGCACUUUGGUUGCACAAUAACUGGAGUUCAUAAACUAAUACCUAUUUUCCUGGAUCCAUUCUAGGCAGCACUCCAUCCAAACAUAUGAUGAAUGCCCCUAGCCAAGGAAAGUGUCACAAAUCUCUUCCUGUGAUCAUACAUUCAUUUUUCUUGGACAGCUGACCCCAGAAGCCCUUAUUUGAAGUCAACAGGAAUUUUCCUUGGAAAAAAAGAAAACAAAAUUUGCCCAAAGCAAUUUUGUUUUAGAACACAGAAAGUUUUCAAAAAUCCAGCAAGCAGUCCAAUAUUUAUUCAAGCAAAACAUUUACUAACAUCACAAGAGAACAUAAAAGCCAUGCAAAGAACAGCAAUAAAAAUAAGAAAACUGAUUUAUCACAAAGGCAGUUAUCUGCCACAUGAAUUAAAGCAAGCUAAGCUUGCUGUUCCCGAUAACAGAGACAACACAGUGCCUUCUCAUUAAAUAUUCUUUUAGUGAAUCUGCUAGUGGGUGCAGGUGAGGAUGGAUUUCUCCAGGAAUUUCAAAUAUUUGCACAAGCUUGAGAGAUAAACAGAAGAAUUUGGGGAAGAGUGUGACUUUAAGAAUCUGUAUAGCUGGGGGGUUUCGCUGCUGAUCUGCAUUUAGAGCAAAAUAAAAUUUUUUCCAUAGCAGAAAGAAACAGUGUCUUCAAACAACUUGCUUGGAGAAGUAAAAAGCACUCUGGAAUGGUCUCAUCCUGAUGGACAGAGGACCCUUUACCCACACUCAGAUGGAGAGAGACCCCCAAAACACACACCCCAUGUUUCUUUUCCUCUUGGAAUUUUGGAUAGAAUUUCAUUUUGAUAAACUGAGAUUUAUGCCGAUGUAAAUUACACAUGCAAAUCUUCCAUAUGUCAAGAUGGGAAAAUUUACCACUUAUAUUUUGUACUUUAUAUUUCUUACUCCUGACUAAAGUAAUUUUAUCAACAUAAUACAGGCAGUGGGGCAACACUUCAUAAGCCAGAUGUUUAUUGACCUAUGUGACCCUCCAAGUGUUUUCCUCCUGAUUAUUUGUGGUAUGAACAUAACAGACAACAUCUGAAGUAAUGUGGGAAAAUGGGCCUAUAAAACCAGUCACUUUUGAUUUCUGUUUCAGCUAAUUUUGAUUUCAUUUGAUUUUGUUUCCUCCAGGUAAGAAUUUAAGGUGAUAAAAACCAAGAACACAAUUGAGCUGGCUCUCAGACAGUUUCUAAUUUCCCCUGUCAAAUCUUGUAAGGCGGCUCUGUAAAUAGGAUUACAUGAGAAAAAGGUCA